ACGUGGUAUCCUGUCUGAAUAUGGGGGGACCAUCCUCCAAGGCUAAAUACUCCUGACUGACCGAUAGUGAACCAGUACCGUGAGGGAAAGGCGAAAAGAACCCCGGCGAGGGGAGUGAAAAAGAACCUGAAACCGUGUACGUACAAGCAGUGGGAGCACGCUUAGGCGUGUGACUGCGUACCUUUUGUAUAAUGGGUCAGCGACUUAUAUUCUGUAGCAAGGUUAACCGAAUAGGGGAGCCGAAGGGAAACCGAGUCUUAACUGGGCGUUAAGUUGCAGGGUAUAGACCCGAAACCCGGUGAUCUAGCCAUGGGCAGGUUGAAGGUUGGGUAACACUAACUGGAGGACCGAACCGACUAAUGUUGAAAAAUUAGCGGAUGACUUGUGGCUGGGGGUGAAAGGCCAAUCAAACCGGGAGAUAGCUGGUUCUCCCCGAAAGCUAUUUAGGUAGCGCCUCGUGAAUUCAUCUCCGGGGGUAGAGCACUGUUUCGGCAAGGGGGUCAUCCCGACUUACCAACCCGAUGCAAACUGCGAAUACCGGAGAAUGUUAUUACGGGAGACACACGGCGGGUGCUAACGUCCGUCGUGAAGAGGGAAACAACCCAGACCGCCAGCUAAGGUCCCAAAGUCAUGGUUAAGUGGGAAACGAUGUGGGAAGGCCCAGACAGCCAGGAUGUUGGCUUAGAAGCAGCCAUCAUUUAAAGAAAGCGUAAUAGCUCACUGGUCGAGUCGGCCUGCGCGGAAGAUGUAACGGGGCUAAACCAUGCACCGAAGCUGCGGCAGCGACGCUUAUGCGUUGUUGGGUAGGGGAGCGUUCUGUAAGCCUGUGAAGGUGUGCUGUGAGGUAUGCUGGAGGUAUCAGAAGUGCGAAUGCUGACAUAAGUAACGAUAAAGCGGGUGAAAAGCCCGCUCGCCGGAAGACCAAGGGUUCCUGUCCAACGUUAAUCGGGGCAGGGUGAGUCGACCCCUAAGGCGAGGCCGAAAGGCGUAGUCGAUGGGAAACAGGUUAAUAUUCCUGUACUUGGUGUUACUGCGAAGGGGGGACGGAGAAGGCUAUGUUGGCCGGGCGACGGUUGUCCCGGUUUAAGCGUGUAGGCUGGUUUUCCAGGCAAAUCCGGAAAAUCAAGGCCGAGGCGUGAUGACGAGGCACUACGGUGCUGAAGCAACAAAUGCCCUGCUUCCAGGAAAAGCCUCUAAGCAUCAGGUAACAUCAAAUCGUACCCCAAACCGACACAGGUGGUCAGGUAGAGAAUACCAAGGCGCUUGAGAGAACUCGGGUGAAGGAACUAGGCAAAAUGGUGCCGUAACUUCGGGAGAAGGCACGCUGAUACGUAGGUGAAGCGACUUGCUCGUGGAGCUGAAAUCAGUCGAAGAUACCAGCUGGCUGCAACUGUUUAUUAAAAACACAGCACUGUGCAAACACGAAAGUGGACGUAUACGGUGUGACGCCUGCCCGGUGCCGGAAGGUUAAUUGAUGGGGUUAGCGCAAGCGAAGCUCUUGAUCGAAGCCCCGGUAAACGGCGGCCGUAACUAUAACGGUCCUAAGGUAGCGAAAUUCCUUGUCGGGUAAGUUCCGACCUGCACGAAUGGCGUAAUGAUGGCCAGGCUGUCUCCACCCGAGACUCAGUGAAAUUGAACUCGCUGUGAAGAUGCAGUGUACCCGCGGCAAGACGGAAAGACCCCGUGAACCUUUACUAUAGCUUGACACUGAACAUUGAGCCUUGAUGUGUAGGAUAGGUGGGAGGCUUUGAAGUGUGGACGCCAGUCUGCAUGGAGCCGACCUUGAAAUACCACCCUUUAAUGUUUGAUGUUCUAACGUGGACCCGUGAUCCGGGUUGCGGACAGUGUCUGGUGGGUAGUUUGACUGGGGCGGUCUCCUCCUAAAGAGUAACGGAGGAGCACGAAGGUUGGCUAAUCCUGGUCGGACAUCAGGAGGUUAGUGCAAUGGCAUAAGCCAGCUUGACUGCGAGCGUGACGGCGCGAGCAGGUGCGAAAGCAGGUCAUAGUGAUCCGGUGGUUCUGAAUGGAAGGGCCAUCGCUCAACGGAUAAAAGGUACUCCGGGGAUAACAGGCUGAUACCGCCCAAGAGUUCAUAUCGACGGCGGUGUUUGGCACCUCGAUGUCGGCUCAUCACAUCCUGGGGCUGAAGUAGGUCCCAAGGGUAUGGCUGUUCGCCAUUUAAAGUGGUACGCGAGCUGGGUUUAGAACGUCGUGAGACAGUUCGGUCCCUAUCUGCCGUGGGCGCUGGAGAACUGAGGGGGGCUGCUCCUAGUACGAGAGGACCGGAGUGGACGCAUCACUGGUGUUCGGGUUGUC
rnacentral:rRNA from 1 species